rnacentral:rRNA from 1 species
AUUGAACGCUGGCGGCAGGCCUAACACAUGCAAGUCGAGCGAGCGGCGGACGGGGGAGUAAUGUAUGUGGGCUGCGCGAUAGAGGGGGGUAACAACUGGAAACGGUGGCUCAUAUAGCAUAUUAUCUGAUAACCCCUAUGGGCUUGGCUAGUGGGUGAGGUAAUGGCUCACCUAGGCGACGAUCCCUAGCUGGUCUGAGAGGAUGAUCAGCCACACUGGGACUUAGACACGGCCCAGACUCCUACGGAGGCAGCAGUGGGGAAUAUUGCACAAUGGGCGCAAGCCUGAUGCAGCCAUGCCGCGUGUAUGAAGAAGGCCCUAGGGUUGUAAAGUACUUUCAGUCGGGAGGCGUUACCCGCAGAAGAAGCACCGGCUAACUCCGUGCCAGCAGCCGCGGUAAUUC